CAGUCGUACCGGCGGGUAAUCAGCCUUUUGGGUGCGAUUCUGUGGAGUGUGAUGAGCUUAACACCUUCAUGCUUUACAUAUUCGUGCACUUUGGGUGUACUUGCUCGUGUGGUAGGUUAACAUCAAUUUUGAUCGUCAUAAAAUGAUUGGAGGAAUGUAGCUUCGAUCUCGUAUUGAAGUGUUAUAGCCUUCGGUAAAUGUGAUGAACGAGAUUGAGGAUUGCAACGGAUACCCUUCGGGGCUACCUGUCUGGUCUCUGAUCGUUGCUCUGGUGCCGAAAGCUUGCUUACGGUCAUCAAAGUCGAUGGUCAAUAGGUUAGAACGGGUUAAA
rnacentral:rRNA from 1 species